GGUGGAUGAUGGUGGGUGGGCGGAGCGACGCAGGGACGACAAGCGCAGGGAGAUAAACCCACUCUGAAAUCACCAGGGUCGGUGAUAAAAACAGUGAAAACCCUCCGUCCUGCUUUCACCGAACGCUGUUUAUACUUCAUUACUUCGUCAAAGAGAGGGAGGCCAGACCAAGAUGAACGGCGAGUCAGGUGCCGGAGUGGUGACGGCCCCCCCUCCCACCACAGCCCCCCACAAGGAGCGGUACUUUGACAGGGUGGACGAGAGCAGCCCGGAGUACCAGAGGGAGAGAAACAUGGCUCCCGACCUGCGACAGGACUUCAACAUGAUGGAGCAGAGGAAGAGGGUGUCCAUGAUCCUACAGAGCCCGGCAUUCUGCGAUGAGCUGGAGACGAUGAUCCAGGAUCAGCUGAAAAAGGGGAAGACGCCCACCAGCCUGUUGGCCCUGCAGCAGAUCGCAGACUUCAUGACCACGACCAUGCCUUCCAUGUACCCGGCUGCACCACAGGGAGGCAUGGCAGCGCUAAACAUGAGUUUGGGUAUGGUGACUCCAGUGAAUGAUCUGCGUGGCUCAGACUCCAUUUCCUAUGACAAGGGCGAGAAGCUGCUGCGUUGCAAGCUGGCUGCAUUUUAUCGGCUCGCUGACCUAUUCGGCUGGUCGGAGCUCAUCUACAACCACCUCACAGUCAGGGUGAACUCGGACGAGGAGCGCUUCCUUAUUGUCCCCUUUGGGCUCCUGUACAGUGAAGUCACUGCUUCCAGUCUGGUGAAGAUAAACGUUCAGGGUGAGAUUGUGGACCGGGGCAGCACCAACCUCGGAGUCAACCAGGCUGGCUUCACUCUGCACUCUGCCAUAUACACUUCACGGCCUGAUGUGAAGUGUAUCGUACAUAUACAUACACCUGCAGGGGCUGCGGUGUCAGCCAUGAAAUGUGGCCUGUUGCCAAUCUCACCUGAGGCACUGUCCCUGGGUGAGGUGAGCUAUCACGACUACCACGGCAUACUGGUGGAUGAGGAGGAAAGCACUCUCAUACAAAAGAACCUCGGGCCAAACAGCAAGGUGCUUAUCCUCAGGAACCAUGGUUUGGUGACUGUCGGUGAAACAGUGGAGGAAGCUUUUUAUUACAUCCACAAUCUUGUCACUGCCUGUGAGAUCCAGGUGCGAACACUGGCCAGCGCUGGAGGACCGGACAAUCUGGUGAUGCUGGACCCGGGGAAAUACAAGGCACGCCCGCGGGUGCCAGAGCCAGCCGGUGACGGGUCGUCUACACACCCAAAGUGGCAGGUCGGGGAGCAGGAGUUUGAGGCUCUCAUGAGGAUGCUCGACAACUUGGGCUACAGGACGGGCUACCCUUACCGCUGCCCGGCCUUGCGAGACAAAGGUAAAAAGUACAGUGAUGCAGAGUCCUCCUCCCACGGUGGUUACUCAUACGGCGAGGACAGUGACUCAGGCGCUCGCUCCCCACUGAAACACAGCUUCCAGCGCGGCCAGCGUGACAAGACCCGCUGGGUCAAUGCCGGCGGCCGGCCCGACGAGCCCUCCGAGGAUGGGCCCGACGGCAGCAGCCCCAAGUCGAAGCCUAAGUGGACAAAGGAAGAAGGACUCCGCCAGGCUGCUGUAGCCAAUCAGUUCAUCCCACUCAACACCAACCCAAAAGAAGUGCUGGAAAUGAGGAAUAAGAUCCGGGAGCAGAACCUGCAGGACAUAAAGACAGCAGGGCCCCAGUCUCAGGUUCUGUGUGCCAGCACUGUGGUGGAACGCAACUACAACCAGGGGGAGCUAGUGACCGCCUCCAAGGCCAUCAUUGAAAAGGAGUACCAGACCAAAGUCAUCGUCAACAAGCAGGGUCCGAACCCCUUCACCAAGCUCACCGACCAGGAUAUGGAGGAGUAUCGCAAGGAGGUGGAGCAGAAACAGAAAGGGCCUGAAGACCCUGAGCUGCUAGUAGAGCCUGAGGAGGAGCCCAAAGGCCAGAAACCCACCACUACGCCACCCAGCACCCCAAUCAGAGCAGAAGAAGGUAGGUUGGCCUUGACAGACUCGACACACUUGACUCGCCUGGUCUAGCAUGGGUUCCUUCAGUCAUCUGGCUGGGUUUUUGAGCUUUCUCAGGGUCGACAGAGAGAAUGCAGAGGUUCUUUCCCAUCCAUCUGCCUGUCUGUGUUAGGGUCUGUUUGUUUUGUGGCCUUUAAUAAUACUACUACAGGUGUUGUGCUUUGAUGUUUGUAAUAACAGGCCAAGAGGUUGACAUUAAUCAGUAACAGAAAAGAUAUCAUAGGUUGAGAUAAAGCUAUUAUCUCCACACACAGGGUUAGGAGGUAGUAAAGAGACAGUCAGUGACAUUACAUAUAAAAUAAUAUAUUUAGUUUUUCUCCUUUUUCUUAAGUCAGUUAUAUAUUUUCUUUCAUAUUUAUUUUUCCCCUCUUGGUCUUUAUUACUAUUGGAUUACACCUUAGUGAACUGUAUCAUUCCCAAUGAUACAAUAAAUUAUAUAUCUUUAUUUAAAGCUCCUGUGAGGAGUUUUAGCUUGUUAUGAGACAUAUCAAUAUUGGUAUUAAUAUCAGUCUAUGAGCUUCAGAACCAAACAGGAACUUAGCUGACAAGAUACAUUUUCUUUCUGAAUACUUAUUUCUAAUGUCUGAAACAACCCCCGUUGAGUAGGUGUCAGAUUACAAGAGAUUAAAGCUCCUGAGUAGAGUUUUAAACUUGUUAUGAAACAUACCGAAAGUAAUACUUUUGCCUUUUUAUAUGACCUACUAAAGCAAAUGAGCCCGUCAGCUACAAGUUUUUUUUACAAGUUUCUAUAUCAUAUGUAAAACUCGUCACCCCUGAUGAAGUGAGUUAAAGCACACUGCCAAAACAACCUUUGUUGACAUUUUCUACAUCAAAAAUAAUAAGGGGUGUGUUUGAUUGUUAAAAGACAGCAGGCUACUUUUUGCUAAAAAUAUUGCUUACACGUAUAGGACAACGAAUGAGAGGUAUCCCUUUGUCUACAGGGGGGGCUAAUAGCAAAAUAAACCAAAAGUUCCUCACAGGAGCUUUAACUUCACAACCAUAUGCUGUGAAAAGGCAGCAGAAUUAGAUUUAUUGUUAAAACAGUGUUUAAACACAUACAGGACAACAUCAGCAAAAAGAUAAUGGGUGCCACUUUGUCAACAGGGGGCGCCAGUUCAACAAAAACCAAAUAUUUCUCACAGGAGCUUAAAUGAUGAGUGGUUUUAUUACACCUAAAAAUUAUUUGAAUGUGACCUACAGUCAGUUAACAGGCGAUUUAUAUUCAGUGUGAGGGAGUUAGGGAAUUAUUAGUUUUGAUCUCAGGUGUAAUCUAAUACCUGGAUUGUUGUUAUAUAACAUGUCUGUAUGUACAGUAUCUCCUUUGCCCCUGCACUUCCAUUCUCCAUCUUUUUUGGGGUCUACUAAGAAUGGUUCCCAACCAUUCUUUUUAAAUUUCUUCUCUGGUGGUGUUUUUUUCUUUCUCUUUUUCACAUUUUUUGUUUCUUUUUUUUAAUUUAACACAGUGCUUGUGGUUUGAUCUGCAUAGACAUUUGUUUCUACUUGUGCUUUUUCUUCUUUGUGCCUGCGAUUACAAUCAGGAGAUGGAAAUACAAAAGAGUACCUGUUGCCAUAGUAAAGUCCGUACCCGAACAAACCUUUAAGGAUGAGAGCGACGCAGCCACCCUGAGACAGACCCUUCCAGAUCUAACACCUGAUGACCCCUCUGACGCCCCAGCACUUCCUGCUGAAGACUCUGCCUCUGCACCUGCUGCUGUGGAAGCAGAGGUGGAGGCAGACGCAGAUGCAGCUGCAGCUGCAGCUGCAGCUGAGGGGGAGGAUCCUGCCGACGCUGGUGAUGCUGGUGACCAGGAGGGGGAAGAGUCUCCUAGCAAAUCACCCUCCAAAAAGAAAAAGAAGUUCCGCACUCCCUCGUUCCUCAAGAAAAACAAAAAAAAGACUGAGUCCUAGAUUGGAGAAUGUUGGAUCGGUCCUCUCGGCUGGCCUAUGCCUCUUUUCAUUUUUGCUUUUUGUCUGCUUUUCAUCGCACCCUUCGAGUAAACCCCAGCUUCACUCAGUUAUGCUUUUUUGUCAUUUUGAUAUUAUUUGUCGCUGGCUUAUUAACCUAUUUUUCCUCGUUAGCGUGUGCCAAUUUUGUAUACAGUGUAAAAAUGAUUGAUUGCAUAAAGGUUUUUAAUUAUUAGAGGCUUUUAGUUGUGAGAGAGUGAUGCAUUCGGUCUUGUCCACUCCAUCUGGCCUUUCCAUGCAUGUCGAAUACUACAGGCCCAAACCGCUGAUGUGAGGGUUUAAGGUUUUAUUGCCCUAAUUUUUUAAAAGGAAGAGUAUUACUAAACUGUUAUAACCACUAGAAUGUAUUGGGAUUGUAUCAAAAAUAUGUCCAAGUGUCUUUCAAAAAAAAAAAAAAAAAACAGUGAAUGCAAGACCAGAAGCUUGUACGCUCUCAUUUUACUGACAGGAACUUCUGUCAGUGAAACUUCAAAUAAAACCAUUUAAUCACAUUUUACAUUUUAGCAAAGCAGGAGAACUACAAUUAGGAAAUACAAUCACAUAAAGUCCAUACAUGAAGAGUCCAAUACUUUGAUUAAACCAUACAAGCUAAAUCUAUUGUUGUUGUUUUUUCUUCAAAUGAACAUUUGACAUAGCCUUAAUCAUCUGGUACGUUGUUUUACAUUUUAUAAUAUUUCCCGAAUUAGAUCAAUGCACCAUGAUUUGAACUGCAUUGUUUACACCAUUGACUGUAUAACAAUAUGGACAGCCAUUGUAAGACAUAAAGCCAUAAUCCCACCUUGAUGGGUGCUGAUAUAUUGCGCUGGAGGAGCCAAGACAUGUGCAGAAGCAAUAUGUCGGCGCCAAGAAGUGAACUGAAGUCACGCUGCUUCUGCUAACUAAAACCUGCAUUAGACUUGCAUAUAACACAUCUAACUUCCCUCUGGUGGGUAGGGUCCAAAUCAACACAGGAAUCUAUUCUGGACACUCAUUAAGAGGACAGGAGCCUGCAUUUGUCAACAUGGCUAUCUAUCAUGAUGUCACAUCCCCUCUUUUUAACUGAAACUAAACUUCCCUGGAAAAUGAGCACUUGGCCAUUAGUUAACAAACUGCUGUGUUUUAGUGACAUUUUUUGGCGUGUUUUUUAAUUUUCUACUUUGACAAAUGUCCCAUCUGUUUUAAAUGAAGAGACAGACUUCAAGACCUUUACUACAGCCAGUCACCAGGGGGAGCUCUAAAAGUUUUGGCUUCACUUUGUGGGAGCUGUUGUGCUGUCCAUGUUUUUACACAGUCUAUGGUUUAAAACCUGCUGAAGUUGAGUGUUUCACAACAAACAGUGAGUCAUCCUUAGGAGUGUUGGGAUUUUCCAUGUUUAUUAUUCAAAGGAACAAAUAUAAUUUUGGUCCUGGCUUUUUAAGCCUUUAGUAUGAAGGAAUGUGUACAAACAAUUUCUAGUUUUUGUUUUGUUCAUGAUCUGAGCCUGGAUUUGUUUUGAUCCUCCCCCUUUAUCUCUCUCUGUCAAAGCCAGAACCAUAAUGUGUGAGUUUACACAUUUCAUUUUGUCCUUUUAUGUAUUUCUUUCUUUAAUUUUUAUUCUAACCUGAGGUGGAUUGGGGUAUGAAUGCUUGCUGUGAGCGAGCACUGUGAAUCUUAUUUUCCAAAAACCACUGUCUGUGAUCUCAUACCACACACUGUUUUUAAAUAGCCACAGUCUGCAUCAUGAAUCUAGAUACAGAACAUGUCACUGUCACUGUUAUGGAGCUGCAUGAUCAAUCAUACUUCAGACUCUCAACUUAGACUUCAAACUCCACCCUGACCAAAUGGACUUUAUUGUUAAUGAAUACCUGUGUGUUUCCAGUUGCAGUAAAGACACGAUGUACACUGGAGAAGCUUUUUUUUUUAUGGCACUGAUGUGUGAUCAGUGGUGUUAAAUAAGCUGUGCUUAAGGCUGCCGGGCAUUAAUACAAUAGCCAUGUCCAUGCAUUGCUUCCUAACCUGUGUUUAUUUACCCUGAUUGAUGGAAGUGUCGGUCUAUAUAAAGUCAACCAAGAGGCUAAACUUAUGGGAAGGCUUACCUGAUCUGUCAUUUAAUGCCCAACAGUCAUAUUAUCUACAAAGCUACAUGCUAGCACAGAAUGACUGACUCAUGAAGGACUGCAUGUGUAGAGUGCUUAGAGUGUGUACUCUCCAUUUCGAUGACUGUAACCACCCCUUUUAUUUGAAUUAUGUUUUAUUUCUUUUGCUGUAGUGUGCAGAUAACAAUAAUAGAGUCUUCGUAGUCAUGGUUUUCAUUUGAGUCAAUCAUAGAAUCUUUUCAAUUUCACAUCUAUGCUGAUUUAUAUUCCCUGUCUGAACUACUUCCAGUUUCAAUGUUUUUAUCAUUCUACCAUCUACAAACUUAAUACUCCCACCUGUCUUUUCUCAUGGUUCUGCCUCGUUUACAGCCAUGAAUAAACAAACACUACCAUGAAAGUCAA